rnacentral:rRNA from 1 species
AGUGAACGCUGGCGGCGUGCCUAAUACAUGCAAGUCGAACGGAGUGGCGCACGGGUGAGUAAUAUAUAGCUAAUCUGCCCCUUGCUGGAGGACAACAGUUAGAAAUGACUGCUAAUACUCCAUAGAAAGGGAUGAGACUAUAUCGUAUCAGCUAGUCGGUGGGGUAACGGCCUACCGAGGGUAUGACGCGUAACUGGUCUGAGAGGAUGAGCAGUCACAUUGGAACUGAGGCACGGUCCGGACUCCUACGGGAAGGAGCGGUAGGGAGUAUUGCGCAAUCGGGGAGACCGUGGAGCAGCAUCGCAGCGUAGAGGAUGACUAUUUUCGAAGAGUAAAUGCCUUUUGAUAGGGAAACGGUACCUAACGAAUAAGCACCGGCUAACUCCGUGCCAGCAGCCGCGGUAAUAC